rnacentral:tRNA from 1 species
CGGACCGUAGCGCAGCCCGGUAGCGCGCCAGUAUGGGGUGCUGGAAGUCACAGGUUCAAAUCCUGUCGGUCCGACCA